CAUCAAUUCUUUUCGGUCCGGAUCAGCAAGCUGUGGUGGCCACGAAGCGGAGAUAACGCCGCGCACGCGGCGGCCCCGAAGGGGCGAGGAGCGCAGCGACGAGUAAUCCCACCCUCUCCGCCA
rnacentral:sRNA from 1 species